rnacentral:rRNA from 1 species
GACGAACCGUGCAAACGUUGUUCGGAAUCACUGGGCUUAAAGGGCGCGUAGGCGGCUUGCCAAGUCAGGGGUGAAAUCUUUCGGCUUAACCGGAAAAGUGCCUCUGAUACUGGCGAGCUAGAGGGAGGUAGGGGCAUGUGGAACUUCCGGUGGAGCGGUGAAAUGCGUUGAUAUCGGAAGGAACGCCGGUGGCGAAAGCGACGUGCUGGAUCUCUCCUGACGCUGAGGCGCGAAAGCUAGGGGAGCGAACGGG